rnacentral:rRNA from 1 species
UACGUAGGGGGCAAGCGUUGUCCGGAUUUAUUGGGCGUAAAGAGCGUGUAGGCGGCCAGGUAGGUCCGUUGUGAAAACUCGAGGCUCAACCUCGGGACGUCGGCGGAAACCCUCUGGCUAGAGUCCGGAAGAGGAGAGUGGAAUUCCUGGUGUAGCGGUGAAAUGCGCAGAUAUCAGGAAGAACACCCGUGGCGAAGGCGGCUCUCUGGGACGGUACUGACGCUGAGACGCGAAAGCGUGGGGAGCAAACAGG